rnacentral:rRNA from 1 species
GAUGAACGCUGGCGGCGUGCCUAAUACAUGCAAGUCGAGCGAACAGACGAGGAGCUUGCUCCUCUGACGUUAGCGGCGGACGGGUGAGUAACACGUGGAUAACCUACCUAUAAGACUGGGAUAACUUCGGGAAACCGGAGCUAAUACCGGAUAAUAUAUUGAACCGCAUGGUUCGAUAGUGAAAGACGGUUUUGCUGUCACUUAUAGAUGGAUCCGCGCCGCAUUAGCUAGUUGGUAAGGUAACGGCUUACCAAGGCAACGAUGCGUAGCCGACCUGAGAGGGUGAUCGGCCACACUGGAACUGAGACACGGUCCAGACUCCUACGGGAGGCAGCAGUAGGGAAUCUGCCGCAAUGGGCGAAAGCCUGACGGAGCAACGCCGCGUGAGUGAUGAAGGUGUUCGGAGCGUAAAACUCUGUUAUUAGGGAAGAACAAAUGUGUAAGUAACUAUGCACGGCUUGACGGUACCUAAUCAGAAAGCCACGGCUAACUACGUG